rnacentral:rRNA from 1 species
UGCCAGCCGCCGCGGUAAUACGGAGGGUGCAAGCGUUAUCCGGAAUCACUGGGUUUAAAGGGUGCGUAGGCGGCCUAGUAAGUCAGAGGUGAAAGCCCACAGCUUAACUGUGGAACUGCCUUUGAUACUGCUAAGCUUGAAUUAGGUUGAGGUUGGCGGAAUGUGACAUGUAGCGGUGAAAUGCAUAGAUAUGUCACAGAACACCAAUUGCGAAGGCAGCUGGCUAGACCUUAAUUGACGCUGAGGCACGAAAGCGUGGGGAGCGAACAGGAUUAGAUA